ACCAAAAAAAAAGAUACAAAAAUUCAGUACCAAAAUCUAACGCUCGCAAGUACGUACGGCACACACCACAUGUUGGAGAAUAUGAACGUACACCCACAGAUCACAACCCUGCACGUACUACUAUUAAUCAUCGAUCCAUAAUAACUAGCAGCAGCACUAGCGAUUGAUCGAUCGAUCGGUUGAUGAUGCAGUAGCUGCUACUGUUCUUCUGUUCGAUCCAUAAACCACUAUCUUUUUUUUUGUGUUCUUGGAAUCAAGAAUUCAAGAUCAAUGGUGGUCGAUGGCGGCGCCGCCGUGGCGUCUCGGCCGAGCACGUCGCGCCGCCGCGCCGCCGCCACGGCGAAGCCCAGGGCAGUCGUCGCCUCGCGCUACCUCCUCCCGUCCUCCAGGCCCGCUUCGCCGGCGGCGGCGACACGGCCGGCUGCCACGAGGCGGCCGGCGACGAUGGCGGCUGACGCCGCGGCGAGAGCCGUGUCGGUCGCGUUCCAGGACGCGAGCUACUGCUUGGAUGGCGGCAAGGCCAAGCAAGUGCCGCAUGCGCCGUCGCCGGAGAAGAAGAGGGCCAGUUUCGCAGCUGGCGCGGCGGCGGUGCGGGCCAAGGUGUGCGACGCCCGGUGGCCGGCGUCGGCGGCGGCGGCGAACUCGGCGCCCUACGGUUUCCGCGGCGGCGUCGCCACGCGGUCCGUGGCGUUCGACGAGAUGACGCCGCGGCGCGCGUCGGUGGACGUCCCGAAUCCCCUCCGCGCCGCGCUGUCAUCGGACGACACCGAGAGCGCGACGUCGUCCGCCGGGUCACCGGACGGCGACGCCGACGCCGACGCCAAGCUCGCCGCCAGAGCGCGUCCGUCUCCCAGAAGCAUCAUGGCCUCGCCCGCGCGGUUCUCGCGCGACGCCAUGGGGAGCCGCUCGGAGCGCUUCGCGGACCACUCGACGCCGUUCAUGUCGCGCACUCCGAGGUUCCUGGCCUCACCGUCACCCAAGACGACGCCGACGGCGCCGCCGCCGCCGACAACGACGAAGAAGAAGUCGGUCAAGUCGCUGUUCAACGGGCUGCUCUCUUCGCCAUUCACCAGGCCGUCGCCUAAACAGCCACCUCCAACUAAGCCGGCGGCCAUUUCGCCGGCGAGCCCGUCUCCGGCGAGGUGCUCGGCGACGGCGGCGGCGUCUGCCGUUCCAGGGAGGCUGCAAGCGCAGGGCAAAGCCGAGGAGGAGCACCAGCUGAGGCUGCUUCACAACCGCCAUCUGCAAUGGCGGCUCGCCAAUGCGGUGGCCGGCGCCGCGAUUUCUGCGCAGGAACUGAAUGCAGAGAAACAAUUGUGUGGUGCAUGGGUUAGUAUCCUCGGGAUGAGCAAAUCGAUUGCGCUCAAGAAGUUGGAGCUACAGUUACUGAGACAAAAUUGUAAAGUCAUGAAUACUCUGAAGGGCCAAAUGGCAUAUCUGGAAGAGUGGUCCUUACUGGAGAACAAGUAUGCUAAUUCGCUGUCAGGAACAGUGGAAGCUCUGAAUGCUACCGUUCUUCGCCUUCCUGUCUCUGAUGGAGCAGUGGCAGAUUUUCAGUCUGUCAAAAAUGCUGUUGGCUCUGCAGUUGAUGUCAUGCAGACAAUGAGAAACUCAAUGAGUUAUCUACUGCCUAAGCCAGGACAAAUGUGUUGGUGUCUCAGCUGUCCAUAAUUACCAGACAAGAACAGGUUCUAAUGGCGCAGUGCAGAGAGUUGCUGUCCACACUAGCACUGAUGCACGUGAAGUACAGUAGCCUACAAGGGCAAAUGAUUCAGCUGAGCGACCUAAAGAGGGCUAAAAGCGUUUCUAGUUCAGAGUAUCCAUACUGAUCUUUAACUAAAUGUAGCUGAGGUUGGAUGACAGUUUGCAAGGUGCUUUCAGACUUUAGAGUUAUUGGGUUUACAAGGAAGAUGACUGAUGUACGGCCAACGACCAAAAUAACUGAUAAGAAUAUACAUGAGUCCAAAGAAAAAAAAAGGAGACAUUUUGGCAUUAAACUUCUGACAGAUA